rnacentral:rRNA from 1 species
AGUGAACGCUGGCGGUAGGCCUAACACAUGCAAGUCGAACGGCAGCACAGUAAGAGCUUGCUCUUACGGGUGGCGAGUGGCGGACGGGUGAGGAAUACAUCGGAAUCUACUUUUUCGUGGGGGAUAACGUAGGGAAACUUACGCUAAUACCGCAUACGACCUACGGGUGAAAGCAUGGGAUCUUCGGACCUUGCGCGAUUGAAUGAGCCGAUGUCGGAUUAGCUAGUUGGGGGGGUAAAGGCCCACCAAGGCGACGAUCCGUAGCUGGUCUGAGAGGAUGAUCAGCCACACUGGAACUGAGACACGGUCCAGACUCCUACGGGAGGCAGCAGUGGGGAAUAUUGGACAAUGGGCGAAAGCCUGAUCCAGCCAUACCGCGUGGGUGAAGAAGGCCUUCGGGUUGUAAAGCCCUUUUGUUGGGAAAGAAAAGCAGUAGGUUAAUACCCCGCUGUUCUGACGGUACCCAAAGAAUAAGCACCGGCUAACUUCGUG